rnacentral:ncRNA from 2 species
UAAAAUCAACACGGGUGCUUAAUGCUGAGAAAUACCGUUUAACCUGCUCUAGAUAAUGCUAGCGAAGGGAGUUAACAAUACAGAUAU